AACUCACAAUAAUAAAUUAGAAUUUCAAAAACUCAAACACGGUUCAUAUCAACAAACAUUAAUGUCACAUUUCAUGAAAUGUCAAAACACUAAUAACAGUGUUGCCAAAACUAAUGUAAAUGUGAUGGCGCCACCAGUACUAAAAUACUACACUGCGCUAGGACGCGUGCUUAUGAUUCAGGUCAAGGUGCAUUUUCCAAGGCGACGAUUGCAAUCGUCCACGUUUUUUUUUCAAAUCGGGCGUCAAAAAAACCACAAAUAAUAAAUCGUUCACGAUUUUGGCGUCAAAAAAACCAUUGAUCUCAAUCGUUAACGAUUUUGGCCAACGAUUUGAAAUCGUACACGAUUGUAAUCGCCGCCUUGGAAAAUGGACCUUCAGAUAAAAAAAAUUAUCGGUUGUGAUCCGGGCUACAGAGAAUUUGUGGGGGUCGUACGCAAAGAUUUGGCAACCGAUAAUGAAGAAAAUUUUCUGAAAUCAUCGGAAGAGUGGCACCAUAUGACCGGUUUUUUCGACCGUCAAUACAAACUGAAGCGAUUUACGGGCGCGUUUGAGAAAAAAUGUCGUAAGCUGCGCGAAAAUCGCGAAAUCUAUGAGGAAAUGCCAUCGAAGAAAAGUUCUGACUACCUUACCUAUCUGGAUUACCAGCUGGAUGUAUUCAAUGAAUCAUGCGAGAUAAAGUACCAAAAACGUGUGGGUCGUUUUAAGUUUGAUGCAUUUAGACGUAUGCAGGUAGCAUUGCAUGUGUUGGUGAAGCAAAUGACAAAAGUCGAUCGUAGAAUGUCGGAUGCUGAGAAAACAUUGUGAUAUUGGCAUUUGGUGGUGCAAAAUUUUCAUCAAACUCACCCAUCAAAGGAUAUCUACGGUGUCCGCAUCGAGCAUUGCAACAAAUGGCACGUGAAUAUGUAUUCGUUUUGCCAAUCAACGAACACAAUACAUCCCAGAAAUGCAGUCCACGUAAGCUCAAGAAACGAAGAAGUGUGCCAGAACGUCAAUCAAAAGACUGUUUUCUAGUUUGCCCCAACUGUAAACCGGUCGAAGAUGGCGUUUUUCACGAUCCAAUUCAAUGGACAGGCAAAGUUCAUAGUACUUUCAAAAAGAAACAUCAAGAAUGGAAAUACAGUUCCAUAUGUACAUUCCAUCGACCGCUUCCAGAAGCAAAUCCAAAUCCACAACCAAGACGAAAGAAAAAUAAAUUCGAGAAGCUGGAACCCAAGGAACGGAAAACAACAGUUAUAUUCAAUCGCGAUAUAAAUGCAGCGAGAAAUAUGAUUAAGAAAGGAUUGUACAUGUUGAAUCAUCUGCUGAUGCCAAAUUGUUUCCGACCAUUCAUGCAUCAACUCCAUUAUUAUUACAACAAUUAAAUUCAACAAUCAAAAAUAUAAGCACGGACGUCUACGCGAACAUUCUCAUAUACUAGAAAUAGUAUAUACUCUUGUAAUGUACCCUCUGGGUAGCUUUCAUCGCAAAUGUACUUUCAUGCAUUCUAACUGAUUUUUUGUGCCGUUUUUGCAUUGUAGCGAAUCAUUUUAUUUCGGUGAUUCCAUUUUCGUACUAACAGCGCGCAUCAUCUCAGAAAAAAAUCAUACACACGUCCCAAUAUGGAAAAGAACAUCAUUUUUGAUAAUUAAAAUUCAUUCGCUUUUUUGAAUAUAUUUUGGAAAUAUUUUAAUUUAAUGAAUUUAAGACAAUUAUGCUUAUGAUUUUUUACUUGCUUCCAAUCCAAAUUUAAGCAAUAAUGAGAUAAAGUUUGUAAAAUUCAAAAAGGAGACAUUCGGAAUUUUUUUCGUGUCAUGUUAUGAAAUUCCAAAAAGCAAAAAUAUAAAAAAACUCUAUAAUUAUCUUGAAUGCAGUUUGAAAAUAGGUAAAUUUUUUAAUCAUAUCCCUGUUUUGCUCUAUACUGCGUAAAUAUUUUCUCUAUUCAAUUGUAUUCAGUGAAAAAACAGUCAAUAUCAAUAAGAUACACUGUCAUAUUAUCGUCAUAUUAUAACUUUAUUAAUCUUUCCAGAACUUUUUUGGACCGUUGCUAUUGUUUAAUUUUCGGUUUUAUUUAUAUUAAAAUGGGGCCACCUAAAGUCCCUUUUUUUAGCACGUAAACACAGUUUAGCUGUUAAUCUAUAUGUAUAAAGUUAGUCGUAAGGUAAAAUAUCUUAAUUCAGUCGUAAGACCUUUGAUUUUUAUUCGUAUUAUAUAUUAUUUUGAACCGAA